rnacentral:rRNA from 1 species
AACACUAGCCAGUCCCAUGGGUAUGAAACCCAUUUGAGCGAGAGUAGUACUAGGAUGGGUGACCUCCUGGGAAGUCCUCGUGAAAGGGUUU